rnacentral:lncRNA from 1 species
CUGAUAAAAAUGCCUUUCUAAGAAUAACACUUUGAUGUUUUUGGCUCUCAGCCACAGGAUCACCUCGCUGAACCACUUUGCUUUUGAUACCUGUGUUAAGACCCAUGUGACUGGUUUAGGUAUCACUGAAAAGGAAGACCACCGUUUAUUGCACCAGCAAUACUGUUUUGAGAACGUCAGACUGCGUUAUCAGAGGGAUGAGGGAUUUCUCACCUAGAUACAGACAGACCUGUGAGCUGUUGUUUAUCUAACAGGAGUCAAAGUAGGCUUCUAAGCCUCAAACAGUGCCUAAAGCCUGAUGCUGUCUCUCAGAAGAGCGUAACUUCCUUACUGUUUGGAGGAGGAGAGAGGAAGGGAUCAGUCCUCCCUCUUUUCCUGAGACAUGUAUUUUGUUUUCAAGAUUCAUCAGAAAGAUCCCGAACACUCUGGAGUCAUCUCAUGUCUCGUCUCUGGCUUCAGCAGUCUUUCAUGCAAGUGCUGAAGUGUCCUGCCCAGUUGAUUGUCAGUGACUACUGCAAGCUCACGCUAUCUCCAGUACUGUUACGAGUGCCUCCUGAAUCCUGGAUAAGACUUUCGGAUCUGGACGUCCAUCCUCUAUCCCAGCAUAUCACAAUAGCACUCCAUGCUGAUGGUCACCUGACUCCAGUGUUCAAUUCAGAGCCAACGUCACAAUGAGUAACAAUUGAAGAGAAACCAACCUAGAAUGAUUUGAAGAGUUUGGAAAGUCUAAAGAUUUAAAAAAAAAAAAAAAAAAAAAAUCCUGCUCCAGGGGAGCAAUUGUACUUUUGUGUAUGAAUCUGUAAAAACGCUUCUCUGAAUUCUUUACUUCGAGAGCUUAGAUGACUUCAAUUAAAUUCAGUCUGGACAUCUAAAAAUAACAUUGAUAACAGACUGAAGUGUAGUCUUACUUCUGCUACCGAAAAUUGUCUUUCUUCCAAAUCAUAAUAUGUUAGAUCACACUCUUUUUUGAACUUAACUGCUUUCCUGAAUUGGCAGAGGUUUGAUACAAAAUUUUCAGUACUUAGUAGCUGUGUCUAAACUGCAGGAGAGUGUGCUGUAAAACGU